ensembl:lncRNA
GGGCUUAACAACAGUAUCCACCUGUAUCAUGUCAGAUAUAAAGUUGAAAUGUAUUUCAUUUUGAGUUUUCAUCUUAAUAUUACACUUUAUAUACCAGAAGACUGAAAUAUAACAAAACCAUUUGACAUAGAAACACCGGAUUUUCAACAUUUAGAUUUAUUUUAUUAGUUAUAAAAUGAUGAACAAUAUGAAUAACAUUCCAGCCAUGAGGCCACCAGGUCAUUUCCAGCCACCAGGUAAUUUCCAGCCAUGAGGCCACCAGGUCAUUUCCAGCCAUGAGGCCACCAGGUCAUUUCCAGCCAUGAGGCCACCAGGUCAUUUCCAGUCAUGAGGUCACCAGAUCAUUUCCAGCCACCAGGUCAUUUCCAGCCAUGAGGCCACCAGGUCAUUUCCAGCCAUGAGGCCACCAGGUCAUUUCCAGCCAUGAGGCCACCAGGUCAUUCCCAG